rnacentral:misc_RNA from 1 species
CACGCAUUACAUAUAAUUUCCUGCAAGAUUAAGCUUACAAAUAGGCUGGCCUCGAAGCUGCAGGUGAUUGGUGAGCCGACCAUGGUAAAGGAACCCAGUUCUACGGUGCAUAAUUCCGGCAGGCAUUAUAUUACCAAACUGAAUGCAAAGGAAAAGAAUCUGCUGCUAGGCCUAAAUUCAGAGUUUACUUGCAAAACCAUAGUCUUCAUUCACACACCAAGGACACAUGUAAACGCUAUUCAAGCUGUGAACAAUAGGUAGUUAGGUAAGGUGCAAAUACACAUUACACUAUUGAUUGAUUUCAGAAAGUAGCUUUUCAAGUGAAUCAUUUGUAAGAGGGAUAUAUAAACAAUCUUGGCCAUCACUACGCCUUCUGGUCUUCACCAACUCGUGAUCCUUGAAUUCUGUCAAAUGGGAGUUAAG